rnacentral:rRNA from 1 species
AGCAGCCGCGGUAAUUCCAGCUCCAAUAGCGUAUAUUAAAGUUGUUGCAGUUAAAAAGCUCGUAGUUGAAUUUCGGGGUUAGUAGGUUGGUCAUGCCUCUGGUAUGUACUGGUCUCACUGAUUCCUCCUUCCUGAUGAACCUUAAUGCCAUUAAUUUGGUGUUUUGGGGAAUUUGGACUGUUACUUUGAAAAAAUUAGAGUGUUUAAAGCAAGCUAACGCUUGAAUACAUUAGCAUGGAAUAAUGAAAUAGGACGUUCGAUCCUAUUUUGUUGGUUUCUAGGAUUGACGUAAUGAUUAAUAGGGAUAGUUGGGGGCAUUAGUAUUCAAUUGUCAGAGGUGAAAUUCUUGGAUUUAUUGAAGACUAACUACUGCGAAAGCAUUUGCCAAGGAUGUUUUCAUUAAUCAAGAACGAAAGUUAGGGGAUCGAAGACGAUCAGAUACCGUCGUAGUCUUAACCAUAAACUAUGCCGACUAGGGAUCGGAUGAUGUUAAUUUUUAAUUGACUCAUUCGGCGCCUUA